UACGGGGAGUGCAAGCGUUGUUCGGAAUUAUUGGGCGUAAAGCGCGUGUAGGCGGCCUGUUAAGUCUGGAGUGAAAUCCCUCGGCUCAACCGAGGACGUGCUUCGGAUACUGGCAGGCUUGAGUCCCGGAGGGGCAGAUGGAAUUCCCAGUGUAGCGGUGAAAUUCGUAGAGAUUGGGAGGAACACCAGUGGCGAAGGCGGUCUGCUGGACGGUGACUGACGCUGAGACGCGAAAGCGAGGGGAGCAAACAGG
rnacentral:misc_RNA from 1 species